rnacentral:rRNA from 1 species
GAUCAGGGCUCAGGAUGAACGCUAGCUACAGGCUUAACACAUGCAAGUCGAGGGGCGAGCAUGGUCUUAGCUUGCUAAGGCCGAUGGCGACCGGCGCACGGGUGAGUAACACGUAUCCAACCUGCCGUCUACGUCUUGGACAGCCUUCUGAAAGGAAGAUUAAUACAAGAUGGCAUCAUGAGUUCGCAUGUUCACAUGAUUAAAGGUAUUCCGGUAGACGAUGGGG